CUUUUAAACAAAGCAGAAAGUCAAAAAUAAAUUAUUGAUCUAAGCAUUUUACUUUUCAGAUGAUUACCAAGGCACUUCCCAUGCACCAGAGGUGCACUUUGUGGAUAAACACCAGUGUGACCUGAAAGCAAGGGUGAACAAUAUUGGACCAAUAUUGGAUAAGCUACUGGAAAAAGGUGUAAUCCGUCAAGAAGUUUAUGAUAAAAUAAGAGAUACCCCAACCACUCAGGAUAAGAUGAGGAAGCUCUAUCGUGGUCCCCUAAGAGCUGGAGGACAAAAAGCAAAAGACGUCUUCUACCAAAUCCUUGAGGAGGAGGAGUCAUAUCUUGUGGAUGAUCUCAAAAGGAAGGAGUCUGGAGCGGGAGCAAUCUGGAAUUAAGUGUCUUGCCCAAGUACUCAUCGGACAUGUUGCUCAGGAGCUGCGGAUCGAACCGGUUGAGAGAAGACCGUCUUUACCAAUGAACCACAUUCAGGAAAAGAAAAGUGUUUUUUGCCAGUGACCAAAAGACUGCAUAUCACAUUUCAAUACAAGGCUUCAGAUUUAAUUAAGGACAUACAAUGAAAGAUGGCUGAGUUAUCUUUCAGAAAACUGAAGCUAUAAUCAGCUGUCUCUCCGCAAACACAGCAAGACUCCUUCAUACUAAAAAAAAAGUAUAUUCAAAUGUAGUGUUGUAGUCAUGACCGCUCUAACCGAGACCAAGAAAUACCCGAGACGAGAAUACUCCGAGACCGAGAAGAACAAGACAUUUAAGGAUCGAGACUGAGUCCAUAACCAAGACCAAGGCAGGUCGAGACCGAGACAAGAACUCGACCAUAAAUAUCAAUGAAAAAUCAUUAUCUUGUGUGCAGGGGGACAUGCCACUAAUUUAGACCGUUACACUGGGAAGGUCUGGAGUCCGCCUUGUCUGAUACCGAGACAAGACCGAGCCAAAAUGCUUGCGAUUCCUACACGAGAUCAAGACCUCUACCGUUCAAGUAAUACAACACUGUUCAUAUGUAUAUCCACAUUUUAACCUUCCACGAUUCUGCAUAUAGAACCUUGUUUUUAAAAUUUUUGGAACAAAUAAUAAUUUUUUUAAUGAAGUCUAUUUUCUUGCAUUUCUCGUGUGCCAACAUGAAAGUUAGAAUCUGUAGAGGAGAAGAUGGUACUCUUCUGCAAAAUGCUGUCGAAAAAUGUUUCUGUGAUACCUAUUGUAGGACCGAACGUCCAGUCAACCUGUACAAACAAUUAUUUUCAUACACAAAGAUAUGUGACAUAUUGUUUGAAUAGUUUGACUCCCUGGGCAUUUAUCAAAAAAAAAAAUAACCUUGGGACACCUAAUAUAGUCUAAUCUGAACUGUUGCCCUACAUCAUAUAGGCUACUUACUUUUCAAUUGAUGGUAAUCUGAUUGUAAUGUGUGCUGCUCAUUUAUUUGUUUCAUUUUUACGAGAAGAGGAUAUUAUGCAAAAUAAGCUCUUCUCAAACGUGUGUGUGCACAAUUUGUAUUUUAUUUUGUUUUAUUACUUUUAUUUUACCCAUAUUAAAUUAGUAUUAAAUUGAUAUUAAAAUUAAAUUGAUCACAAGACAUUUGAAAAUAAACUGCUCACAAAAACCAAGGGAACACUUAAAUCACAAAUCAGAUGUUGGUGAACGAAUUGUUUAAGUGGAACAUCUUCAGUGACAUAGCCUAUACGUUGUAUGAUUUGUUAGGAACAAAUUGACGUAGCUAACGAGGGUCAAUUGAAACCAAAAUCUUCAACCCAUUGAGGGCUGGAUUCCAAAUCACAGCGAAAGUAAAAACUACUGAAAUCCCAGCCUUAUCCAACUUUCAUCACAACAUCUCUUAAUUUGACUCAGUCUGUAUAAACUGUAUGCACUCCUGACAAUGUCUGGACAUCCUCCUGAUGAGUCGUCGGAUGGUGUCCUGGGGGAUCUCCUCCCAGACCCCCAGGUGUUGAUCAGUCAUAGUUGCUGCAUGGCCGACGGAGAGCAGCACUGCUAAAAGAAACAACUCUUAACUGGAUCUUUUAAAAUAUACAAUGAAUUAAUUAAUGACAAAUUUUAAAGAAACAGAAAUAAAGAGAAAAUAUAAAGAAUUUAGGUACUUAUCCAGUUUUUGCUUUCCCUGUCUUGCUUGUUUUAUACUCCGGUCCAAUAGGUCCGGUGGCGGUAAUGCGCCUUUAAGCUGGUUUCCUACCGCCAUUAAACCCAACAGUGGAAGAAGACGAGCAGAAGAAGAAAAAGGGGCAGCUCCUAUUCACAUCUGAUCUGAACUCCACAUGAGCCACUGCCUGACCAUAGAC